GAUACAGUGAAACUGAGGGGAUGCAAAUUUUAAGUAUGUGAAAAGCUCUGUAUUUUCUUCAUUGAGUAGUUGUUCAAAUGGAAGUCAUUGCAAGGGGGAUCCAAGUCUGUAGAUGCUUUCACUCAGCGGGGCUAUUUAGAUGUAAAAACAAACUGUGGUGAA